rnacentral:rRNA from 1 species
CCUCUUGCAAACUUAUGUAUAAGAGGUCCAGCCUGCCCUGUGACUAUAUGUUUAACGGCCGCGGUAUCUUAACCGUGCGAAGGUAGCGCAAUCACUUGUCUUUUAAAUGAAGACCUGUAUGAAUGGCAUCACGAGGGCUUGACUGUCUCCUUCCCCUAGUCAAUGAAAUUGAUCUCCCCGUGCAGAAGCGGGGAUACACACAUAAGACGAGAAGACCCUGUGGAGCUUUAGACACAAGAGAGACUGCCUUCAUUAACCCAAAAUAAAGGGCCAAAGCUAAAGGUAGCCCUCUCCAGCGUCUUUGGUUGGGGCGACCGUGGGGUAAAACAAAGCUCCCACGUGGAAUAGGAGCAUCCUCCUUCAACCAAGAGCUCCCGCUCUAAGGAACAGAACUUCUGACCAAUCAGUGAUCCGGCAUCGCCGAUCAACGAACCGAGUUACCCCAGGGAUAACAGCGCAAUCUCCUUCUAGAGCCCUUAUCGACAAGGGGGUUUACGACCUCGAUGUUGGAUCAGGACAUCCUAAUGGUGCAGCCGCUAUUAAGGGUUCGUUUGUUCAACGAUUAAAGUCCU